GACGUAGGAUGCAAGCGUUGUCCGGAAUUAUUGGGCGUAAAGAGUUCGUAGGCGGUUUGUUAAGUCUGGUGUUAAAGACGGGAGCUCAACUCCCGCAUGGCAUUGGAUACUGGCAGGCUAGAGUGUGGUAGAGGUCUCGGGAAUUCCAGGUGUAGCGGUGAAAUGCGUAGAUAUCUGGAGGAACACCGGUGGCGAAAGCGCGAGACUGGGCCAUAACUGACGCUGAGGAACGAAAGCCAGGGGAGCAAAAGGG
rnacentral:rRNA from 2 species